rnacentral:rRNA from 1 species
GAUGAACGCUAGCGGCAGGCUUAACACAUGCAAGUCGAGGGGUAUAGUUCUUCGGAACUAGAGACCGGCGCACGGGUGCGUAACGCGUAUGCAAUCUACCUUUUGCAGAGGGAUAGCCCAGAGAAAUUUGGAUUAAUACCUCAUAGUAUGUGAGAAUGGCAUCAUUUUCACAUUAAAGUCACAACGGCAAAAGAUGAGCAUGCGUCCCAUUAGCUUGUUGGUAAGGUAACGGCUUACCAAGGCAACGAUGGGUAGGGGGUCCUGAGAGGGAGAUCCCCCACACUGGUACUGAGACACGGACCAGACUCCUACGGGAGGCAGCAGUGGGGAAUAUUGGACAAUGGGCGAAAGCCUGAUCCAGCAAUGCCGCGUGAGUGAUGAAGGCCUUAGGGUUGUAAAGCUCUUUUACCCGGGAUGAUAAUGACAGUACCGGGAGAAUAAGCUCCGGCUAACUCCGUGCCAGCA